AUUGAACGCUGGCGGCAGGCCUAACACAUGCAAGUCGAGCGGAUGAGUGGAGCUUGCUCCAUGAUUCAGCGGCGGACGGGUGAGUAAUGCCUAGGAAUCUGCCUGGUAGUGGGGGACAACGUUUCGAAAGGAACGCUAACACCGCAUACGUCCUACGGGAGAAAGCAGGGGACCUUCGGGCCUUGCGCUAUCAGAUGAGCCUAGGUCGGAUUAGCUAGUAGGUGAGGUAAUGGCUCACCUAGGCGACGAUCCGUAACUGGUCUGAGAGGAUGAUCAGUCACACUGGAACUGAGACACGGUCCAGACUCCUACGGGAGGCAGCAGUGGGGAAUAUUGGACAAUGGGCGAAAGCCUGAUCCAGCCAUGCCGCGUGUGUGAAGAAGGUCUUCGGAUUGUAAAGCACUUUAAGUUGGGAGGAAGGGCAGUAAGCUAAUACCUUGCUGUUUUGACGUUACCGACAGAAUAAGCACCGGCUAACUCUGUGCCAGCCGCCGCAGUAAGAC
rnacentral:rRNA from 1 species